rnacentral:lncRNA from 1 species
UCCAAUAUUCGAGAGAAAUUAGCCUAACGUAAUGUUGGAGUUAAAUACAAGAGUUUGAAAAGACAUCACCAAUUUUGAUGAAACUUGAUAAUUUCCAAAUUCCUUGGACAAUUAUUGAAGAAUAAUUGCAUACAAAUUUCAACCUGCAGCCUUUCUUCUGGUGUGUAUAUGUAUUCCUCCCAAUUGGCGUGUUCUAUAGCUCUCAAUCCCUCAAAGUCAGCCGGAAAGUGUGUGUAUAAAAUUUAGCAGCAGUCCGCCUUCUUCGUUGCCAAAUUCUGCUAAUGUUUCUGUGUGUGCAACCUCUAUUGUAUGUGUAUCUCCUCCCAUUUUUCUCCAUCAGCCAUCUUUUAUUUUCAGCCCAAUUGUGUGUUUUUGUGUCCAGCCGUCGGUAGUUUUUCUCUAUUUCUGCCCACUUCACCGUCCUAUGUCGUAUAUAUAAUCUCCCCAAAGCUGCUCCCUUUAUUUCUUUU